GCGGAUAUGGCGUAAUUGGUAGCCGCGCCAGACUUAGGAUCUGGUGCCUCACGGCGUGGGGGUUCGAGUCCCUUUAUCCGCA
rnacentral:tRNA from 5 species